GGCAGCGGGGGGUGCGCGCCCGGCCCAGGCGCGGUGGGGUGGUCCCGGGGAGCGGAGCGGGCUGGAGAGCGAUGGGCUUUAACUGAGGGCGGGCGUUCAGAGGAGGGCAGCCGCUCUGUCGCUACGGGGCGGCUGCAGCCCGUCCUGCGUUACUGACAGUCGUAGCUCUGGGGGCCGGGCCGGGCCGGGUCGCGCCGGGGCGGCCGGGCCUGCGAGGUGGCGGCUCCCGGGGGAAGCAGGUCUGCGGCGGGGCUCCCCUUCUGUUCCUGGCUGCGUUUACGAGGAAAACAGAAUUUGGUGGGUUUGGAAAGUUUGGACUGUGGAAGGUCUGGGGCAUCAAGUGAAGGUGUAUCCAUAGCUCUGUGGAACUGACCUGUAGUGCCAAAAGUGGAGGCUCUAGGGUGGUGAUUGCUAUUCGAGCAUGUUUGAUUAAUCUUUCCAUUCUCUUUAUCUUCCAUCUUCUGGCGUUUGCAUAGUGAACCUAUCGUGCACAACCCUUCUCUCCACCCCCACGCUGAAAUCAAAGGAGUUACGAGCAGUCAGUACCUUACAGGAGCAGAGCUCUCAUGCUUCCUUAUCAUCUUUGAAACUCGUUACUGCUUUUUUCUGCAAAGGUCAUAUGCGCGUUGCACCUAGACUUGGUGAUCAUGUCUCUGGAGUGGUAGUAAGAUAAAGUUGUCCCUCAUCUUAACUGAGGAUGUAAGUACCUGCCUCUCAUCACCUCACAUCUCUUAUGUCUACCCUGAAGCUGGAAAUGUUGAGUGCAGCAAAUGCAGAAAUAUCUGAACUUGUGUUAAUGUAAUUAGCUCAAUAUCAAGAAGAGCAAAGCCACAAUUAUUCAAGCUUUGAUACAGGCAAGUUACACCUGAAUAGACCGUGAGAGGCUGAGGUAAACUUGUACAGAAGUACUUGGCACCAUGACCCCACUGACACCAGUUCCAUGCUGUCAAGAUGAGAAUUAGGUCAUUACCAAGAUGAGAACUAGGCACUGAACACUUACCAUCAACCAAAAAUUGCACCUCUGCAGACAUUUUCUGUGACUGGGUCAGAGACUGAUAAAUAUCAGCACUUAUUUUGCUGGAUUUCUCAGAUGGGUAUCACCGUAAAACAAUUAAGAUUGGCACCAGUUUCUCCUUACCUUUCUUUGAAAAUCACUGCUACCUCUGCAAGACAGCUUGCAUAUUACUGUUAAAGUAAAUAAAAGCAAAAUGGCUUUGAAGCACUAUGAACUUGUUUAUAUGCAAGAGACAUACUAUUUUGGAGCAUAUGCUGUCACUAAUUCCUUUUUCAGUAUGAACAUUUGCCUUCUGGUUUUGAGAGUGGGAAUCAGUUCUUCCGCUGGAGUGAGCAGAAGAAUGUAUUGUCAUCGUGGUAUUAUCAAACUUGGGUCAAAGUUGUUGGGUUCCUACGGUAAAUAACAGAAUGGAAAUACACGGUCAUGGAUUCUCUAAGUCUGCAGAGUGUGUCCAAAGGAAAUAAUGAUACUCCCAUCUUCGUAAUAUUAUUUAGGCUGAAGAAACUAUUACAAAAAUAUGCUGCAGGAAGUCUUUCAGCAGUAGCAGAGCGUAGAGUACAGCUGAAAGUUUCAAAUCACACGAGUUAGGCGCUUAAACACUUUUUGAGUCAGCACUUAUUUAAGGAUAGAAUUUUACCUAACAAUCAUAAUACCUUUGAGAUCCCAUUCUAAGUAAGUAAGUGAUUUGUUUUAGUGGAUAUUUUCCAUUUCCAACCCACAGAUGACUCUUCAGCUGGUAGGUUUUUUGUUACCCACUCACAACAAAAUUCUUACUGUUCUUUGCACUGAAGAAACACAGAACAACCAAGGUCCCAAUGUGCUAGGCAGCAUAAAAAUACCAGGGUCAGCCACAAAUGUUUACAGAAAAUCACAGCCUAGUCAAUAUUAAAAGAACCCACUCGUUAUUGCAUGUGAAUGACUGUAUAACUCAUGGAAAAGGGUAAAGAGCAUUCCUGGUUGGUGUAAGCUAUUAGCAAAAGCUGAGUUUUUGCAUUAGCAGUUAACAUCAAUUCUGUUAAAGCCACCUCCAUCCAAGAUAAUGUUUCUGUCUGCAAGUAUUGUGUAUUACUAUUCCUCUGUAUUGGUAAAAGCCAAAGGGCUGACAUGAUGUGACUAAAUACAGCAUCACACCAUUAGCUCUCAUGAAAGCAUGACAUGUCCUAAUUAUUGAAAGGAAACAGAACAGGUACUACCACAUACAGGAAGGAUAAAUGCAUAACUAAGUGCAAAGGGGACCUUUAAUGCCUUUGUUUUUCAGCUGGGCAAAAUUUAAAGUUCAUCCAGAAGGGGACACUGAGAAAUCAAGUCUUCCUGGUUUAACAGAUGGGUUGUAAGUAAAUCCUCAAAAGUGUGGUAAGAAGUUAGUUGUGGCACUUACUCAGCGUGGUCCUCUGGACCAUCAGUCCCCUGCCAUCGAGAGUCAGGUAAACCUGUAAAAUACUUAAUUUUGUAAAAAUUCUUGGGACAAAAUCCUGAUGUUUUGUUCAAGAGAGUCUUCCCGUGGCUGGUAUGUAGAAAUGAAGCACUACAUAGAGCAGCUUCAAAUUGGCAACUGAUGUUCACCUAGUGGGCAAAAAAACAUCUAUGUGGUCUAAUAACAGAUUAAUGCUAGAGAAUUUAAUUUUUUAAAAACAUUCACUUCAAAAGCUCUUGUCAUACAAACUCAUAGUCAUGCCAGCAGAAUUUGAUACCCGUUUUACGGUUACUCUGCAAGAAAGCAUGAAGAGUUUGUGCUGUGUUGUGCCUCACUGAUUUCUCGAAAUACACUACACAUGAAAAAAGUAUGCAAAGUAAUAGUCCUUCCUUUGUUCUUUUAGAACAAGGUAGAGUUAAGAAACAGAAAUGCAAGCUUCCUUCCUGCUUCUUAUCCCUGUAGACGUGAGAAAUCAUUCUCUGCUUAGGCUUUCAGUUCUGUUUUGAAGCUUCAGCAAUUUUGCAAUUGAUACAACUUUUAGGUUUUUUUAAGAACUAGAUGGGAACAUCUAGACUGAAUUUUCAUUCAUCAGAAGCCAAGUAUGAUGCAAGCAGAGACAGCCAAACAGCUUCAUUUGAAUCAGCUGUGCAGCUCCCUAUCCAUCUUGAGGAAAAGAGAACAAUGAAUAAAUUCAAGUUUCUACUGACUUGUAGCAAUGAGCAGGAUGACUUGAUCAAAAAUAUCGAUACCUCACAAGCGAAUGGUGAUGUUUUUGACAAAUGAAGAAUACUAUGCUCUUCUACUUCAAAUCAAUCACAAAUUAAUUUUGUUCACACAAAACUAAUAUCUGUCUAUCUUUUGCACAUCUGGGUUUGAUAGCAGUCCAUUCCCAGCACAGCCACCAUCUGCCCAGGCAUUCCUACUAGCAGUGGGAACAUCUGUGCACCAAACCAUUUUAAUAGGUUUGGGAUGAAUCAAGAAUAGCUGGAGAAUGUGCCAUUUCGCUCUCCCAGAAGGCUGCCUCCUCCUAUAGGAACUUAAGCUUGAUAAAGGAUGAGGAAUGAGGCCAGGUCUAUAACUACCAUUACUGUUAACCCUUCUGUUACCACUGGGUAAGAAUAGACUUACAUGAUUUAAAGUUCCCCUCCAUGAGACAGCAAGAAAAUGAAGAGCAGGGAAGAUAGUUGUGAGACUUUCCAGCACGUUUGAAUUGAUAUUACUGAAACAUGACGCGUGUGACUGGGUUGUUUCUAUCGCCAUCUACAAGCUGUUUAGGAAAGACAAAAUGAGUAAUAAGGUGUGAAGGAGUAAGACUAUACAAACUAAAAAUAUUGCUACUUGUAUCUCAGAAUUGCAGAAUCUUAACUGCCCAUAAAUAAUUGCUAACAAAGCCUCCAUGGUACUUCUGUUAUGGAUCUUCACUCAUCACUAAAUCAUACCAGAGAAGGAAACAAGGUUUUUAUUAUGCACAGCUGCAUAAUGAAAAGUUGGGAUGCUAUAGCAGAUUUAUUCUCUUAAGCAAGCACAAUUUAAAUUACAUUUUCAAAAGCAAAUAUAUUAAUUCUGUAACACAACAGGCAUUGCACCCAACAUGUGGUAACUUUUUGUUGGAACUCACUAGGAAAAAAAAAUACUGGACUAAAAAUUAGUUGUUGUCUGGAACUAAUAAUAAUGAAUGAAACCAAGUAACAUUCAAUUUGGGCAGAUAACAGACCCAUUAUUAUUUCUCUAUGGAUCUGCAGUGCUUCAAAGAAUUUAAUGUUUUUGUAUUGAAUAAAAUUAUAGGAAAAAUGGAGGAAAAAUAUUUUAAAAGCAUGAAGAAGACUUCGUUGUCAAAUAGAUGAGGGUUCCAGAGUCAGAAGACUAUGGGCUAAAACCCCAUCGCAAAGUGAAGACAAUUAAAAGCCAAACAUCAAUAGAAAAAUUAGAAGUUAUGAAAUGUAAAAAAAAAAAAGGGAAAAAUCCUACCAAAAGGGUAUUAGGAACAAAAAGGAUAACACUCCCUAACAUUCAUUAUUACAUGAAUAAAGUAACUGUGCAAAAAAGAAAAAUUCAAUAGCAAUUUCUGUCCUAUAUCUGGAAGGGAUCAGGGUGGCCUACUAGAGCAGGUAGGGAUUAAUGAGGCAAAUUACUCUUUGGACGAUGGGCUUAAACCACAAACAAGUAAUUUUUUCAAAUAGAAGCUGGGGAUCAAUAAAGGAAAAACUGCACAAGUUUUAAUGUCCCAUAGGCAAUCUAAUGGUUCUUUUUUCUCUGUAAACUCUGUAUCAAUUUAAUAGCCCUUCUGGAUAUAAGCUGUUCUAUAUGGAAAACAGGAUUCAGAGAAAUCUGGAGAUCACUUAGUUCCUUAUUUUUCCCAGGCAGGAUGUGUGUAUACCUACAUACUUACAUACCUAAUUUCUGACACAUUUGUCUAAUCUGUUCCUAAAAAUCUCCAAUGGUAGAAGUAGCAUCCCUUUUUUAGGCAGUCUGUUCUAGUGCUUAUGUAUUUGCUUUCAGUACUGCUACUGUACUGUAGUGCCCUUUGCUCGGGCAUUUCCAUGGCUACAAACAAGAAAAGCACUGAAACAAAUAUGAAAAUAUACUCAUCUAUUCUUUUUAACAGGCUUGAUUGUUUAGACUGACUUUAAAAGAAAUUCAAGAAUUUGAGACUGCUCAGUUCUGUAAUAUAAGGAGAAUUGCGCUACAUCUCACUGUGCCUCUGCUUCCUUGUAGUGAGGAAAACAAGGUCUACGCAGAAAUGAUGGGCAGUCAAGCCUUCUUCAUUAACAAUUUCUAAAAUCUUUAUGUGAAAAGCAGUUGUAGCAAUGUUAUAUAGCUGUUACUGCUGUUAAUAAAAAUGACCCUGCAUUGUACUGAGAGGGAAACAGAGACCGACUACUGCUUUUGCACCUCCUCGUGUUGUCGAUUAACUGGGUUCUACAGUUGCAAAUACAUUACAGUAACAGACACAGUUCUUCCAGAAGCACUUCCCUGCAGGAAGGCUGUCAGGUAGGAGAAGGCAGCGUACUUGCAAGUCUCUCAUCUCCAUCUCUGUCCUCAGUGCUUUCUCUAUAGGUGAAGCUAUACGCAACGAUGAAGCAGGGCAGGGAAACCAAUGUUUUGCCACCCAGUCACUUGUUCUCGGCGGCAUGCUGACCCACUGCCAGCUCUGUGAGCUUUGUUUUUCCUUUUAAUCCCAUUAUCAUCACAUCAGAGCAUAGAGGUAGCUCAUUAAAUUUAUAAGCACUUGUAUGUUGUAAUACAUUUGAAAAGCAGCUUGAAGAAGGGAAAAGGAAUCUUACUGUAGAAAGCUAAAAUGUAUCAGUCUCAUUUGUCCCAAACCUCUGGAGUCUUGUUGCUACUAGUUUCAUAGGUCAAAAAAUAAAAUUAUGUGAGAUGCUGUAUGUGAAAGGUAGAUGACAAAUUCAUUGGGGAUAAUACUUAAGUAUGCUGGUGCUGGCAGGAAAAGAAUGAGUUAGUGUCAAGGGAAGACCGGCUCUCCAGGAGCUGCAGCACCUUUCCGUGGAUUUUCACUGCGGACAGCACUCCCAUGAAGCCAUAGUCGGACACGCAUUUAAAGCCUGCCCUACCACUGGCAGAUGCAAUUGCUACCUAGGACUAUACAGUGGGUUUUGCAUGAUAGAAGCAUCGUUUACAUGGGAAACUAAUUCUUUAGGAUAUGUGGAGUUAAUAUUAAUUGAAAUACAGUAAUUGAAAGGCCUGGCUGCUUAAUUCUUUUAUCAAACAUCAGGCAUAAACACAAUGAAAAUAUACUUCUGCUGUAUUUAAGAAAAUUAAAAAUAAUUUAUGCCUUUGAAAGUUUUAACUACCAAGUUUAAAGCAUGCUAGAUACUAAUGAACAAAAGUAUUCACCCAAGGACCUUAGACAGCAACUACUUUCCAUUAUUUCCCAAGUGUGUAUUUAUGUGUUAUCUUCAUUGCACUUCUAAUUCAGGACAGUCGGAAUCAUUCUGCACGGAAUCCCAACUCACUAUGGCUGUAAACUUGCAGCAACACUACGCGCAUGUCUCCACCAAGCUGAAUGUGAGCUGUUGAAAACUGGGUCUUUUUUUCCUUUUUAUAAAGGGGUCCGGCCAUGGAGUUAGGAAUAUGCAUUUUCUUGUCACAGAUGCAGUUUUUCUAAAUGUAGAAGUGAGAUACUGGCCAUUUGAUGGCUGAACACAAGUUGAAAGCAGAAAUAAAAGCCUGCUAUUUUAGAUCCUGUACUAUAUAAAAGUUCUUUAACUGUUUUCUGAGAGAGGGUCUGGGUUUGCUUGGGUUUUAUUUAUUUUUUUUUUGAAAGAGGUCUCAUGUUCUCUAAAUGUGAAGUUGUAAUUACAAAUUAAUUUUUGUAAUGAGAUUAUGAUAUUUUCUACAGAAAUAAUUAAAGUGGGCACUAAGCUUA